GCUGGUUUCUCUCAGGCAGAAGAGGCCCUCCCCCUCUUCCUGCCCUGCUUAGCUGCUUGCCCAGAGGACAGGGGACAGGAUCUCACAAGGCUCAAAAAACCUUCAAACAAUAAUCCACUCAGCAGAUAUUUAGCAAACAUCUACCUUAUAUGAACCACUCUCCUGAGCACUGGAGCUACGCUGGUGAACAGAGAAUAAACAGCCUCAUCUCUCAUAACUAUCGUGUUUGGAGCAAGUACCAAAUGCCAAGCACUGUAUUAUGCAUUCUAGAAGCCAUCUCAUGCAAUCCUCACAAAAACUCAAAAAGGUGGUGUUUUACAGAUGAUGAAACUGAGGUUAAUCAUUUAUUCAUUCAAUAAACCGUUAUUGAGCACCU
rnacentral:lncRNA from 10 species